UCUUCUACUAUAUUUUUCCUUACAAUUUCUUUGUUGUUGCUGCAAUUUACUGUUAUGAUUAUAUCCUUAUGUUCAUACUUGCGAUUGUUUCUUUGAAUUCUCUUAUAUCAUUUUAAUUUUACCUGCACUCAACAUGUUCGAUGAAAUGCUUCAACCAGAUUUCUUUGAAUGCUCUAUUUGUUAUUUCUUCUCUUGAUUCCUUUGAUGUUUUUGUGCCUUGAUGGCAUCAUGAACUGGUUGAUGUUCUUCUUGAAUUAUGUAGGUGAUGGUGAUAGCUGAAGCCGGAAAUGAGCGAGCUGAGUUUGCAGUUGACGGGUUUCUAAGCACAGUUGAUAGGUUGCAAGCUGAACAACAUAAACAGGCUCUGUUUUCACCAAAGUUGCCUUUCUUCAUGAUCAAGGCUUAAAGUUAAAAGCCAUUGUCAUCUUAGGUACUUUUCAUCGGAUCCCUUCAAAAUACUAAUGAUGGGAUGGAAGGCACUAAUAGAAUUAUAGUCUUUAAGUUCCUGAUAAAAUGGAAUUCUGUAAAACAAGACUUGCUAAUAUUGUGAAGAGUCCGAAAAAAUUAGGUUCCAAGGAUCCAAGGUAUGUUCUCAUAAUAUCUUGUAUUAUCUUGUGAGUUAUUGAUUUCAAGAAACAAAUUCAUCAACAAUCUUCAAUCUCUUGCUUCAAAUUUUGAGCCAUGCAUUAUUUUUAAUAAAUAGCCUUCAGUUGAACUCAUGGUGUUGAAGCAUUAAUCUUGAUUAGCUAGUACCAAUAGCUAUUUAGACUUCAAUAAUAUGCUUAAAUAGACAUAAAUUUAAUUCCUAAAUACAUAUACGAUUUUAACCCUGACUUUAAAGAGUUCUUUUUUGCAGAAAAUUUAAGUCCUAUAACCUGGUCCAUGCAAAAUUCAAUAGAAUGAACAAUUUAGCCACUAAGAGAAUUUAACUCUUUCUUUUGUUUUUCAUUCUUUGUUUAAAAGAACUAUUAAUGAAAAAAAAUUAAUUUUAUUGGCUAAUUUUUAAAUAAAUAUUUAUUUUAGAAUCAAAUCCAAAUAUAUGUAGAAUAGAAAAAGUAUUCCUAAAGGUGUUGUCUAUGUUAUGAUUGAUGAGUGUAAAGUCCACUAAAUUAAGCAAAUUAAAGUCUUGAAUGAAGGUGUCUGAAUUUGAAGUUUACAGCAAGAGACACUCGUUACUAAUCUAUGGUCAAGUGAAGUCAACACUCAACAGUUGCACACCUUAUUAUCAAUUCCCAAUUUAUUUGUUUGCUUAACAUGAUCGAGACAUGAUUUCUACAUUUGAUACAGUCUUGCUAGAUAAAUUGUUUCAAUUGUAGAUAUCCCUCCUCCUCUACCUUUGCCAACUUAGCUCUAAAAGUUAUUUCUUCACUUUUCUACUGGAGAAGACUACUCUUAUGUACAGUUAAGUUUUUCUUUUGCAAUCUCACAGUUUUCCAAAUUAAUUAUAAUAAAAUGAACUGCCAAGUGAGCCGAAAUAAUGCACAUUAGGGCAGAACAACUUGAAAGGUAGCUCAGACUUUAUUUUCAAUUAUUGUUCUAGUUAAUAGUGAUGAUAGAUAUCUAUCACUGCUUCUGUAAGUUAUAUAUCAAGAUUGCAACAGUGAAUUAUUAUUGUAAGGUUCUUGGAGCAUGCUUUUCUUUUCUUGCUCUUCUUAACUAAUGAAUUUCCAACAUGGUUUAAUUUCAUCUUCAUUAGCUUUUGCCCUCAAUUUUCAAGCAAUUGAGAAAGUACAGCUUAACUAUGUUGAAAUCACCCAAACUGAAAGAGUGACAAGUAAUCAAGUAUAUGCUUGAAAUGUGUCUUGUUUUCUGCUAUGUAUCUAUGUAUGUUAAUUGAUGCUUAAGAUAGAUAUAUAAAAGUGUGAAAUGGUAGUAGUAGUAGCUUUGUUUUCGAGCCCCGAGGAAAGUUUAGCUUAUUUCACGUGGACAAGAAAGUUACUGAAGCCAUCAACAGUAUCCUAACAUAUAUAUAUUCAUCAGAUGUGAAAUUCUUUCUUUUCUACUACUAGCUAUAUAGCUAAUAGCUUUCUUUUCUAAUCAAUUGAGAAGCAAUGUAGGUUGGCCAAUUAAUAUAUUUACAAGGAUUGAAAGGGAAGGCCAUAAAUCAAUACAGAAACCUUUUUUGUGGAGGCUCGUGGCAAGGGCUUUGUCAAAAAGGAUCUUAAUAGCCAAAGGAACUUGUUUCGAGAUAUUUUAGAAUUUUUUCAGAUAUUUAAAUUUCACUUUAUUUAUUAGUUAAUAUUACUAUGAUAACCAAAAUCAUUCAUCAUCUUGUAAAUCUAGUAUUUAAGUGUUGAUCUUACUUUGUUAGAGGUAUUUUUCAACGAGGAAGAACCACUGAAGCUGAAGCAAAAUUUGAGAAGCUCUUGAGAAGAAUAAAUGUGAAAUCUGAAAAGGUUGACCUGUCAAAGAGGUAUUAUUAUUUGGUCUUCAUUAAUUAUUACUAUUUAGUGGAGUGGAAGCCGGAGACUAAGUUAAACUUUAAAUCUAUUCAAUAUAACCAAAAAACUUGUAACGUUAAAUUGUUCUAAGGACUUGCUACAAAAUUGUAUUCAAAGGAGUUGAUUAAAAAUGAUCAAAGUAUAAAUUGAUCAAAGUAUCGUUAAGCCUUUAUUAUUGAUUUGCUUCAUAGAGCUCAGAACUAGUUAUCUGCUGUUGGUGCUUGGAAAAACAGUAAGAAAGAAACUCUAGUUCUCUGUCAAAAGUUGAACUACUGGACAAAGAGGUGAGAUCUCUAAUACAUGUUUGCUUCAAACCAUUGUAUUAUUCUAGUUCUCUUUUCUUUCCCAAGUUUUUAACUAUUGAAGUCACAAGUUUUCAACAAGAUCAUUCUGUUCAACAAGAUAAUCUGACUCGGCAGACACAUUAGGUGCUGGGCCCUCAAUUAUCACUAGGCUUCUAGUUGCAGAUACUCAAGCAGGAAGUCUGAUUGGGAAGCAGGGUUCCACCAUAAAAUCCAUUCAAGAUGGCUCUGGUUGCAUUAUACGUGUUCUUGGAUCAGAAAACCUGCCUAUGUUUGCUUUGAGAUACGAUAGUGUUGUUGAAGUACAAGGUGAACCUACCAGAGUUCAUAAGGCAGUUGAAAUUAUUACAGUUCAUUUGCGUAAGUUCUUGGUUGACCGCGGCAUAGUUGGAUUAUUUGAAACAAAGGCAAGUCCUUUUACCUCCCCCUCAUUUUCUUUCCAUGAAGCUAAAAGGUGCGAAUGCAAAGACCAAAAGAUGCAAAUGCCAAAUGUUUGAGUCAACUACAAUGCACCCCCACGCCAACCUUGGGUUCCUCCUCCUCAAGGGUUUCCAGCUCCUGGUGGCGGUGGCCUACUUUUGCACCCCCUAGUAAGCAAUAUAUGCCACCAUUAAUUCCCUAUGAUAAUUAUUACCCAACAGCCGACCUGCCUCCUAUGGACAAACAAUUCCAUCAGGCUGCACUAUCUGCAUAUGGCAGGGAUCCUUUCGCUGGAAUUCAUCCACCAAGUGCACAACCACAACAAUCUGAUGCAACUAAGGUUACGCAGCACAUGCAAAUUCCUCUAUCAUAUGCAGAUGCUAUUAUUGGAGCAUCAGGUGCAAAUAUCAGUUACAUUCGUCGUGCUAGUGGAGCAAGUGUUACGGUUAGGAGAGAAGGGGUGUGCCAGGCUUGAUGACUGUUGAAAUAAGUGGGACUACAUCAGAGAUACAGGCAGCCCAACAUUGUUGUUAUUUUUGUAAAACUUGUGGGAUUGGAUUUUUGAUUUGUUGAAAUAUAAUGUUAUUUUUGGAGAAUUCAACUUUUGAUAAUAGAAAUCUUUGAUGUUUGAGA